AUGAGCAGGGCAGGUCCUGCCCACUGUCCCGGCUCUCUGGGUCCUGGCAGGGGGGUGUGGCAGGGGUCCUGGUACAGGCCCUCAGUGCUGGGCGUUGAGAGCGGAGCCCUGGGUCCCAGGGUCCUUCCUGGCGUCACUGGCUUGGCCCAGACGGGGGCCUUUGGCACUGGCGUCACCAAUCCCAGAGGUUUGCGAGCCUCGGGAUCUGAUCCGAGAGAGCCUCCGUCAUCCCUCCCAGCUUCGACUCGAGAUGCCGUUACCAUUUCCACACGGUUCUGUCCGGGUGACGGUGCCCAGGUUAUGACGACUAAUCCCAAACCGAACAAGGCAUUGAAGGUAAGGGGUGGGGUGGGCAGACCCUGCGCCCAGGCCUGGCAAAGGUCCCUUCGGCCCCAGACGCCCCGUCCUGAUGCCGCCCUUAGAGCGCGGGGAAGGAGGCCUGUCCCAAGGGUGGGAGGAGCUGUUGCCUGGAGGGAGGGAGGAUCUUUGGGAAAAGUGGCGACCGAGUUUGGGGGCUCUGACGUCCAGGGGCUGGAGGGGCGGGGGCUGGCUGGCCAGAGAACGUUCGAGCCCCCGGCACCGGGGUUUGGGUCACGUGGCCUCUGCUCCCACAGAGCCCCUGAGGGGUGCAGUGAGCAGGGUGCUCUGGCCCCCGGGGUCCGGCUCCCUGCGCCUCCACGUCGGGGGCUGGCGUGUGUCCUCGGACUGGCCGUCUCUCGUCUCAGAGCAGAGCUGGGCCUGGCCCGAGGUGGGCUCUUGGAGCAUAUGCGGGCCAAGCCUCUCAUAGCCUCUCGUGAGGUCCUGCGGUCCGUGGAGCCCAGCCCACUGGCCUUGGCUGGGUCCUGGAGUCUGAGGGGUGCAGAGAGAUGGGCAGCCGUCCGCCCCAUGGCAGCCUUGCACCGGGCACCAGAGGGUCACAGGCAGCCCCGCUGGGCCGAGGCCUCGCA
rnacentral:lncRNA from 1 species